rnacentral:rRNA from 1 species
GACGAACGCUGGCGGCGUGCCUAACACAUGCAAGUCGAACGAGGUCCAUCCUUCGGGAGAAGACCUAGUGGCGAACGGGUGAGUAACACGUGAAGAACCUGCCCCGAAGACCGGGAUAACCCUCCGAAAGGAGAGCUAAUACCGGAUACCCCCACCGAACCGCAUGGUUUGGUGAGGAAAUGGAUUCCGCUUCGGGAGGGCUUCGCGGCCUAUCAGCUAGUUGGUGGGGUAACGGCCCACAAGGCAUCGACGGGUAGCAGGUCUGAGAGGACGAUCAGCCACACUGGGACUGAGACACGGCCCAGACUCCUACGGGAGGCAGCAGUGGGAAUCUUGCGCAAUGGGCGAAAGCCUGACGCAGCAACGCCGCGUGGGGGAUGAAGGCUCUCGGGUUGUAAACCCCUUUCAGCAGGGACGAAUCAAGACGGUACCUGCAGAAGAAGCCCCGGCUAACUACGUGCCAGCAGCCGCGGUAAU